GAGAAUCGCAUUUAAUGGAAAAUAUAGCCAUGGAAAUGGAGGAAAAGACCAAAGAAUUCAAUCAAGGAAGUCGGCCAUAAGCCUACAGUUGGAGAUGAAAGGAAACACGCUUUUAGAGAAAGUGAAGAUGAGAAGGAAAAAGUGAAAAUGGAGGAAGGCGUUAAAGGGCUUCCUCAUGAACAGGUUCCACCACCCAGUGAUUUCAACACAGAAGAACUCGAGAAGCUUUAAAUAUUUUCUAUUUUAAUUCCUGCUUUUUUAUAUCUGUUUACUUUCUUAUGUAAAUUAGGACAACUUUCGACCAUUUGGUUCGUGUUUAAAAGCAACUUUUUUUCAUGAUUUCAAUUUUCAAUCAUCUACUUUUGUAACAUUUAAUUUCAAAUAGAUUGAAAGAGGGGAAGAGGGAUUGACA
rnacentral:lncRNA from 1 species